UUCGAAAUAAGUGAGGCUUAUUUUUCUUCUCCAAAAGUGCAUCUGGUUUGUACAAGAACCCCAGGGUAAAGUGUGAUUCAAUAGCUUCACCUCUGCAAUGCCAAGCAGCCGAGGGAUGUGUGGCUCACAGAGCUCCUGCCACCUGGCCCCUCAGCAAUGGGGCAGCUUGGUGCCACCGCCCCUCUCUGCAGCCCUUCAACAAAGGGGUGUGCCCACAGCUCUUUCAGACACAGUCUGGCCUCCUCCUGACACUGACCCUCAGGCACACAGGGACACAGACAUCUCAGAGGCCAUGCUGUGUGGAGCCCGACUUCUCCCAAGUGGCAAUGGCCAGGAAACUCUCCUCUCCCACCUGCUCACCUUUAAAGAGGAGGCCCAGGACCGAGUCGUAACUGAGCACUGGAUCCUAACAUGUAACUGUAACAUACAACGGUACCUGGACCCUAACAUGAAUACACAGCACUUGUUUAGAUGGCUGUGUGAUGAAGAAUUAACUAUAAGGAGGAUGGUGAUUUGGAAUUCUGUAUUUGAGUUCAGCUUGAAUUCAAACAAGUCACAUGGAAGUCAUAGAUACUCUUUGGCAUAAAAUUUUAUAUAAAAUAACCUAUCUUCUAAAAGAUUUC
rnacentral:lncRNA from 1 species